rnacentral:lncRNA from 1 species
UGCAAUGUGCUGUGAUUACAGAGGAUGCUGCUGUCAGCUAGACUUGUCCCUGCAGACAGCACAAACCUCCAAAUAUUUCAAAUAGAAAUUCCUGGCCAGAAGGCUAGUCGGUGAUAAGAACUAUGUUUAAAGGCCAAAAUAGAACAAAGCUAACCUCCUUCAUUGCAAACGCACAAGAUGCCAUUUAGAAAAACAUUGAUGCAAUCACCCUGGCCCUGUUAAAUAAGGGGACCCUAAUGUGGCCCGCGAUCAAACUCACUUCCUCAUUAAGAGCACAAGCCUAAGAAAAAUCAACUUGCAAAAAAAAAGAAAUGUAUUAGUCCAUUCUCAUGCUACUGACAAAGACAUGCCUGAGACUGGGUUCCUUUGUAAAUUCAUCAUUUGAGGGGAGUCCUGACGCAAGGAGUGGGAACUGAGAAAAGAGAAAACAGGAAAUACACGCCAACAAUAAAAAGCAGGCUUUCAAAUGAAGAACAGAACAUCCAAAAUUUCAGCAAUGAGAGAUGUAAAAUUCAUGGAAACACUGACUCACGAGGUCAGUUAGCCAUAGUUUAAUGUCUUUAGUUCACUCUUUCUUUCCCUUCCUCAAAAGGAAGAAUAAGGAGAAAAUAAAAACUUUUAUCCAUAGUAUAUAAUAUCAAAUGAAGUAUAUUUCAAAGCAUUGCACAGAAUUAACAUCCUUGCUACUUUAAUGCUGUAGUUAAUUGUCUGGCCUAUAUGAAAAACUGAAAAAUGAGAGAACAGUGAAAUGAAGCAGAUGCCAAAGGAUUCUGGAAUGAGAACAAAACACAUCAAUAAUCCAUGGGCAGAUUUUCAGAAGUUUACAGAUGAUAAUCCUGAAAUAUUGAUUCAGCAUUUGUUUUGUUUAGGACAGUCUUAAGUACUUAGAAAAAAAAAUCUUAAAAUAUAUAUGCCUAG